CACGGGGGUUGCGAGCGUUGUUCGGAAUUAUUGGGCGUAAAGCGCGUGUAGGCGGUCUUUUAAGUCUGAUGUGAAAGCCCCGGGCUCAACCUGGGAAGUGCAUUGGAAACUGGGAGACUUGAAUACGGGAGAGGGUAGUGGAAUUCCUAGUGUAGGAGUGAAAUCCGUAGAUAUUAGGAGGAACACCGGUGGCGAAGGCGGCUACCUGGACCGAUAUUGACGCUGAGACGCGAAAGCGUGGGGAGCAAACAGG
rnacentral:rRNA from 1 species